rnacentral:lncRNA from 1 species
CUCCAUACCACUAUAAAUCCCCACCACCACCACCUCCAGUUCACUCUCCACCCCCACCAUAUCAUUACAAGUCACCACCACCGCCAGUACACUCACCACCUCCUCCUUAUCACUACAAGUCACCACCACCACCAGUGCACUCCCCCCCCCCACCAUAUCAUUACAAGUCACCACCACCGCCAGUACACUCACCACCACCUCCUUAUCACUACAAGUCACCACCACCACCAGUGCACUCCCCUCCCCCACCAUACCACUACAAAUCACCACCACCCCCAGUGCAUUCACCACCACCACCAUACCACUAUAAGUCACCACCACCUCCAGUGCACUCACCACCACCCCCUUACCAUUACAAGUCACCACCUCCACCACCACCAGUACACUCCCCUCCCCCACCUUAUCACUACAAGUCACCACCACCCCCAGUGCAUUCACCACCACCACCAUACCACUAUAAGUCACCACCUCCCCCUCCACCCGUACACUCCCCUCCCCCCCCCUACCACUACAAAUCACCACCACCCCCAGUGCACUCACCACCACCACCAUACCAUUACAAAUCACCACCACCUCCACCUCCAGUACACUCUCCUCCCCCACCUUACCACUACAAAUCCCCACCCCCACCACCACCAACCACCCACUAUAUCUACAGUUCAC